rnacentral:rRNA from 1 species
UACGAGGGGGGCGAGCGUUGUUCGGAAUUAUUGGGCGUAAAGGGUGCGUAGGCGGUUCCGCAAGUCCUGUGUGAAAUCUUCGGGCUCAACUCGAAGUCUGCACGGGAAACUGCGGGGCUUGAGUGUGGGAGAGGUGAGUGGAAUUCCCGGUGUAGCGGUGAAAUGCGCAGAUAUCGGGAAGAACACCCGUGGCGAAGGCGGCUCUCUGGGACGGUACUGACGCUCAUGCACGAAAGCGUGGGGAGCAAACAGG